rnacentral:sRNA from 1 species
CUGUGCGCUGGUGCAUCUGAGAUGAAAGCGUUGCUUGUGCUCCUGUCCCUCACGUGGGUGAAACAGGAGUGAGCGAGAAGUGCAGGCUCCUUCAAAGAGACACAGCGUGGGGCGUGCUGCCCACCGGCAGCUGGAGGGGCUUCCAUCGGGGUGGCUGGCUGGGUUUCCCUGCGGACUCUGACAAGCGUCAUGCCAGUGACUUCGCCCUGUGGAAGGCAGCCAAACCCCAGGAGGUGUUCUGGGCCUCUCCCUGGGGACCCGGGAGGCCGGGCUGGCACAUCGAGUGCUCUGCCAUCGCUAGUAUGGUAUUUGGAAGUCAACUGGAUAUCCAUUCAGGUGGGAUAGAUUUAGCUUUUCCACAUCAUGAAAACGAAAUUGCACAGUGUGAAGUCUUUCAUCAGUGCGAGCAGUGGGGAAAUUAUUUUCUGCAUUCUGGGCAUUUGCACGUCAAAGGCAAAGAAGAAAAAAUGUCCAAAUCAUUAAAAAACUACAUUACUAUUAAGGACUUUCUGAAGACCUUUUCUCCUGAUGUCUUCCGGUUCUUCUGCCUGCGGAGCAGCUACCGCUCAGCCAUCGACUACAGCGACAGCGCCAUGCUCCAAGCUCAGCAGCUGCUCCUGGGACUGGGCUCUUUCCUGGAGGACGCACGUGCCUAUAUGAAGGGGCAGCUGGCCUGCGGCUCCGUCAGGGAAGCGAUGCUGUGGGAGAGGCUCUCCAGCACCAAGAGGGCCGUGAAGGCGGCCUUGGCAGAUGACUUUGACACACCCAGGGUGGUUGAUGCUAUCCUGGGCCUUGCACACCACGGGAAUGGACAGCUCAGGGCGUCCCCGAAGGUAGCUCAACGAGCAGGUGGCCUCGCAGUCCCGCUGC